GGGGUGGGAGGGAGCUAGCUGCAGGGUGGCGGGGGUUCCCAGCCUGGAACAUGGAGUUCCUGUGUGCUGCGUGGGGCCCUCGUGUCAGUGCUGCCUUGGAGAGGUGCCCGCCCUGGUCCUGGCAGGUCUGUGGUACCCAAAGGCAGAAAGGCCCUCAAUGAGAACAUUUCCAAAUGGUCCUUCUCUAGCAUUCAGACCAGAAAGAGAUGAAGAAAAGAUAAAGGGAGACCUGCUUUCUUUCCAGGGCUUGCGAUGGCCACAUGAGCGUUUAGCUCUAUUGCAGACACCCUCAAUCGCUGUCACCACCAUCCUCCUCCUCACCAGCACUAGCAACGUCAUCACUACCACCAGCACCUUCUUCCUCAUCAUUAUCAUCAUCAUUGCCUCCAUCACUGAACCGGUACAGCCCGUGGCCCUUCUCUUAAGCCCUUUUAAAAUGAUUGGCUGGUUAAUUGGACAAAUAUCAACUUCUCCUUGUGUGACAAUGGUUUGUUUGUCUCCCCACUCAGAUAAUAUCUAUUCAAGUUUUCAGAGACGAGGGAGGGACUUGCUGAAAAUUAAUAGUGACAAUUCUAGUCGCUAUAGUGGGAGAGGAAAGGAAGGC
rnacentral:lncRNA from 9 species